UUUUUUAACAAGGUUGUGGAUUGUGGUAGCAAAGCAGCAAUAGGAUGUUGGCGGCAAGUAGCGACAGUUGUAGAGUGACAACGGUAGGGCGGCAGUAUGGUAGCAAUGACAGGGCGACAAAAAGCAAUGGUAGUGGUAGGACGGUAGGGUGGUAGCGAUGAUAGGGCGACAAAAAGCAGUGGUAGCGGUACGACGGUAGGGUGGUAGCGAUGACAGGGCGACAAAAAGCAGUGGUAGCGGUACGACGAUAGGGUGGUAGCGAUGACAGGGCGACAAGCAGCUGCAGAAGUAACAGCAGCAGUGACGGGAUUGGUGAUUGUUUGGCAACAGUCGAUGGUGAGUGACAGUAAUUGUUUGGUGGUAGUCAGCGGUCAAUAAUGAUGACUAUUUGGCAAUAAUUGGUGGUCAAUUUUGUAGCAAUUUGGCGACUGUUUGGCAACAGACGCAUGGCAUAGUAGAGAAGCUAGGCUGGAGCAAGUAUUCUAAGUAAGCAAGGCAAAGAGUGGAGUAAGUGCUCUAAGUAAGCAGCUAAUGUGUGAGGGGCCAGCAAGAAGUGCAGUAAGAUUAUGAGUCAGAUAGGGAGCAAGAGUAGCAAUAGGUUUGAAGAGUCAAGACUAGAGCAAAAAAAAUUGUGAUAGUGUAAAGAAGAGAGUCGUACUAAUAACGUGUUGAGAAUAUUUAGAAAGACAUAAGAGUAGUAGUAAGUAAUACAUACACACACAAGAAUAAUAGUAAGUAAUACACACAAGAGGAUUUCUAAGGAGAGAGAGCUUCACACAUAAAAAUCUAUUGAUCUAGUUGUGUCUUGUAUACAAGAGGAGAAGGAGAGAGGAUAAACAAUUUUUCUCCAGUACAUUCCAAAUAUUGUAGCUGUAGUAUUUACUGUAGACUACAAUAAAUAUUAUGGAGAGUGUCGGCUACAUUUAAUGCUAUCAACAUAAGGCAUGCCUUUUCUCUCUUGUUAUUAUUAUUAGAUCUUUAGUAUUACAUUGCAAACAUCCACAUCACACAAAUAGGUGAUAUUAAAUGAAAUUCUAAAAAUAGAUAUUUUAACAUCAUGGAUAUGAAAGGCAUUAAAAUAAAAGAUAAAAAUAUAUAAAAAGUCUUAUUUU
rnacentral:lncRNA from 1 species